rnacentral:rRNA from 1 species
UACGUAGGGUGCAAGCGUUGUCCGGAAUUAUUGGGCGUAAAGAGCUCGUAGGCGGUUUGUCGCGUCUGCUGUGAAAACUCGGGGCUUAACCCCGGGCCUGCAGUGGGUACGGGCAGACUAGAGUGCGGUAGGGGAGACUGGAAUUCCUGGUGUAGCGGUGAAAUGCGCAGAUAUCGAGAGGAACACCUGCGGCGAAGGCGGGUUGCUGGGCUGACACUGACGCUGAUGCGCGAAAGCCAGGGGAGCGAACGGG